UACGUAGGGUGCAGGCGUUAAUCGGAAUUACUGGGCGUAAAGCGUGCGCAGGCGGCUCCUUAAGUCAGAUGUGAAAUCCCCGGGCUUAACCUGGGAAUGGCGGUUGAAACUAGUCGACUAGAAUCUGGCAGAGGGGGGUGGAAUUCCACGUGUAGCAGUGAAAUGCGUAGAGAUGUGGAGGAACACCGAUGGCGAAGGCAGCCCCCUGGGCUGAGAUUGACGCUCAGGCACGAAAGCGUGGGGAGCAAACAGG
rnacentral:rRNA from 1 species